AACUUUCAGCAACGGAUCUCUUGGCUCUC
rnacentral:ncRNA from 18 species